ACUUACCACCAUACCAUUUUGUACACACACAUUCCCAACUGAUCUUAGAAGCUGGACAAAGUUGGGCCUGGUUAGCU
rnacentral:rRNA from 1 species